rnacentral:rRNA from 1 species
AGCAACAGCUAGCCUAAGCACUCAAUAACUAAACAAUAUAAAUAAAACAAAACAAGCCCAACACCAGAACUUAAACCAUUCUUUUACCUUAGUAUGGGAGACAGAAAAGGUUCUACCAGAGCAAUAGAAAAAGUACCGCAAGGGAAAGCUGAAAGAGAAAUGAAACAACCCAUAUAAGCACCAAAAAGCAAAGACUCAACCUUGUACCUUUUGCAUCAUGAUUUAGCAAGUACACCCAAGCAAAGAGACCUUUAGUUUGAAACCCCGAAACCAGGUGAGCUACCCCGAGACAGCCUAUUAUAGGGCCAACCCGUCUCUGUGGCAAAAGAGUGGGAAGAGCUCCGGGUAGAAGUGACAGACCUACCGAACCUGGUGAUAGCUGGUUGCCUAAGAAAUGGAUAGAAGUUCAGCCUCGUGCGCCCCAAAUCAAACAAGAGUAAGCAAGACACUAAGGGACACACACGAGAGUUAGUUGAAGGGGGUACAGCCCCUUUAACCAAGGACACAACCUUCCCAGGAGGAUAAAGAUCAUAAUACAAAAAACAUACUGUUCUAGUGGGCCUAAAAGCAGCCAUCUAAACAGAAAGCGUUAAAGCUCAGACAGACAAAAGUUUAUUAUUCCGAUAAAAAAUCUUACUCCCCUAAACACUAUUAGGCCCGCCCAUGCACCCAUGGGAGAGAUUAUGCUAAAAUGAGUAACAAGAAGGCCCGCCCUUCUCCAAGCACAAGUGUAAGCCAAACCGGACUAACCAUUGGCAACUAACGAACUCAACCAAAGAGAGCAAUGUGGACUACAAGAAAGCCAAGAAAAGCCCACAACUAAGUAAUCGUUACCCCCACACUGGAGUGCACCUAAAGGAAAGACUAAAAGAAGGGGAAGGAACUCGGCAAACACAAGCCUCGCCUGUUUACCAAAAACAUCGCCUCCUGCAACACAACCAAGUAUAGGAGGUCCAGCCUGCCCAGUGACUACAAGUUUAACGGCCGCGGUAUUUUGACCGUGCAAAGGUAGCGCAAUCACUUGUCUUUUAAAUAGAGACCUGUAUGAAUGGCUAGACGAGGGCUUAGCUGUCUCCCCCUUCCAGUCAGUGAAAUUGAUCUAUCCGUGCAGAAGCGGU